GCAAGUCGAGCGAACAGAAGGGAGCUUGCUCCCGGAUGUUAGCGGCGGACGGGUGAGUAACACGUGGGUAACCUGCCUGUAAGACUGGGAUAACUCCGGGAAACCGGAGCUAAUACCGGAUAGUUCCUUGAACCGCAUGGUUCAAGGAUGAAAGACGGUUUCGGCUGUCACUUACAGAUGGACCCGCGGCGCAUUAGCUAGUUGGUGGGGUAAUGGCUCACCAAGGCGACGAUGCGUAGCCGACCUGAGAGGGUGAUCGGCCACACUGGGACUGAGACACGGCCCAGACUCCUACGGGAGGCAGCAGUAGGGAAUCUUCCGCAAUGGACGAAAGUCUGACGGAGCAACGCCGCGUGAGUGAUGAAGGUUUUCGGAUCGUAAAGCUCUGUUGUUAGGGAAGAACAAGUGCGAGAGUAACUGCUCGCACCUUGACGGUACCUAACCAGAAAGCCACGGCUAACUACGUGCCAGCAGCCGCGGUAAUACGUAGGUGGCAAGCGUUGUCCGGAAUUAUUGGGCGUAAAGGGCUCGCAGGCGGUUUCUUAAGUCUGAUGUGAAAGCCCCCGGCUCAACCGGGGAGGGUCAUUGGAAACUGGGAAACUUGAGUGCAGAAGAGGAGAGUGGAAUUCCACGUGUAGCGGUGAAAUGCGUAGAGAUGUGGAGGAACACCAGUGGCGAAGGCGACUCUCUGGUCUGUAACUGACGCUGAGGAGCGAAAGCGUGGGGAGCGAACAGGAUUAGAUACCCUGGUAGUCCACGCCGUAAACGAUGAGUGCUAAGUGUUUAGGGGGUUUCCGCCCCUUAGUGCUGCAGCUAACGCAUUAAGCACUCCGCCUGGGGGAGUACGGUCGCAAGACUGAAACUCAAAGGAAUUGACGGGGGCCCGCACAAGCGGUGGAGCAUGUGGUUUAAUUCGAAGCAACGCGAAGAACCUUACCAGGUCUUGACAUCCUCUGACAACCCUAGAGAUAGGGCUUUCCCUUCGGGGACAGAGUGACAGGUGGUUGCAUGGUUGUCGUCAGCUCGUGUCCUGAAAAGUUUGGGUUAAGUCCCGCAACGAAGCGCAACCCUUGGAUCUU
rnacentral:rRNA from 1 species